CGUUAUCCGGAAUCAUUGGGCGUAAAGCGUCUGUAGGUUGUUUAAUAAGUCCGUUGUUAAAGACUAGGGCUCAACCCUAGAAAAGCAAUGGAAACUACUAGACUUGAGUAUGGCAGGGGUAGAGGGAAUUUCUAGUGUAGCGGUGAAAUGCGUAGAUAUUAGAAAGAACACCAGCGGCGAAAGCGCUCUACUGGACCAUUACUGACACUCAGAGACGAAAGCUAGGGUAGCAAAAGGGAUUAGAUACCCCUGUAGUCCUAGCCGUAAACGAUGGAUACUAGAUGUUGUGUUUAAUAUGCAGUAUCGUAGCUAACGCGUUAAGUAUCCCGCCUGGGGAGUACGCUCGCAAGGGUGAAACUCAAAGGAAUUGACGGGGGCCCGCACAAGCGGUGGAGCAUGUGGUUUAAUUCGAUGCAACGCGAAGAACCUUACCAGGACUUGACAUACUACAAAUUUCUUUGAAAAAAGGAAGUGCCUUCGGGAAUGUAGAUACAGGUGGUGCAUGGCUGUCGUCAGCUCGUGUCGUGAGAUGUUGGGUUAAGUCCCGCAACGAGCGCAACCCUUAUUUUUAGUUACUAAUUAAUUAGGUUUUCCAGAAAGACUGCCGGUGACAAACCGGAGGAAGGUGAGGAUGACGUCAAGUCAGCAUGCCCCUUAUGUCCUGGGCUACACACGUGCUACAAUGGUUAAAACAAAGGGUCGCGAGCUCGUGAGAGUCAGCUAAUCCCAUAAAUUUAGCCUAAGUUCAGAUUGUAGGCUGCAAC
rnacentral:rRNA from 1 species